AUUGAACGCUGGCGUCAGGCCUAACACAUGCAAGUCGAACGAGUGGCGGACUGGUGAGUAAUGUCUGUGAAACUGCCUGAUGGAUGGUGAUAACUACUGGAAACGGUAGCUAAUACCGCAUACCCUCAGUUGUGCCCAGAUGGGAUUAGCUAGUGGGGGUGGUAACGGCUCACCAAGGCGACGAUCCCUAGCUGGUCUGAGAGGAUGACCAGCCAGACUGGAACUGAGACACGGUCCAGACUCCUACGGGAGGCAGCAGUGGGGAAUAUUGCACAAUGGGCGCAAGCCUGAUGCAGCCAUGCCGCGUGUAUGAAGAAGGCCUUCGGGUUGUAAAGUACUUUCAGCGGGGAGGCGUUACCCGCAGAAGAAGCACCGGCUAACUCCGUGCCAGCAGCCGCGGUAAUUC
rnacentral:rRNA from 1 species